GAAGGGGCGAUGGCUGACGGUAGCUCAGCUCUGCUGUCUCAGCCGCUGUUGCGUGCAGAUGGUGUUCUUGAGUGCUGUGCCCAUUUUUCGCGGAUUUGGCGGCACUAUCCGCCUUCACUGGAAGGCCCCGACCUUGGAAAACAUUGGAACCACACCAAUCUUUUAGGUGUCAAGAAAGGGCGAGCUCGGAUCAAAUGCCGAGACUGCUACGUCGGUGCAUCACAAGACCCCCGUGCGGCAUCCUUCGAUUGGCCCAAAACAACAGGCUUAUGCCGAAUUUCAAAACGGGACAUAUCAGAUAAUAUGGUCAUCUGACAAUGGAAAAGAAGAGACGCGUCUUAUAGUAAAAAAGGUGGACCAGCAACGAAGCGACAUCACGUCGACAAUACGUCGACAAUACGCCGGAAAUACGCUCCAUGUGGUUGCGUGCUGAGACGACGACGACGUAAGGGCAGUGCGUCGUUCAAGAGGCCUGGCAGACGAACCGAAACGCACGAGCGCAUUGCAGAAGGCACCCACUGGGCAUCUGACACGCGCUGCGCGAGGUGUCUUCGGCGUUACUAUGCGCGCCUGCGUAAGAAACAAAAUGAAUACUGAA